rnacentral:rRNA from 1 species
AGGACUAACGCUGGCGGCGUGCCUAACACAUGCAAGUCGAACGAGAGUAGCAAUACUCUAGUGGCAGACGGGUGAGUAACACGUGGUCAACCUACCUUGAAGUGAGGGAUAACUAGCCGAAAGGUUAGCUAAUACCGCAUACGAUCUAUGAAUGGCAUCAUUUAUAGAUGAAAGGAGCAAUCCGCUUUAAGACGGGACCGCGUCCCAUUAGCUAGUUGGUGGGGUAAUGGCCUACCAAGGCGACGAUGGGUAGCUGGCUUGAGAGAGCGACCAGCCACACUGGGACUGAGACACGGCCCAGACUCCUACGGGAGGCAGCAGUGAGGAAUUUUCCGCAAUGGGCGAAAGCCUGACGGAGCGACGCCGCGUGUGGGAAGAAGGCCUUCGGGUCGUAAACCACUGUCGAAGGGGAAGAUAUUGACGGUACCGUUGGAGGAAGCCCCGGCUAACGUACGCGCCAGCAGCCGC